rnacentral:rRNA from 1 species
CACGUAGGGGGCAAGCGUUGUCCGGAAUUAUUGGGCGUAAAGAGCUCGUAGGCGGUCUGUCGCGUCUGCUGUGAAAACUCAGGGCUUAACCCUGAGCUUGCAGUGGGUACGGGCAGACUAGAGUGCGGUAGGGGAGACUGGAAUUCCUGGUGUAGCGGUGGAAUGCGCAGAUAGUCGAGGGAGGAACACCGGUGGCGAAGGCGGGUCUCUGG